ACUUUUCAGAACAGCCAAGCAGAUACGUGCUAUCAUUACCAAUCUGCAGAUUAGGAACCCAAGGCUGAGUUAAAGUCACUUGCCAGAUUACUACCACUGUUAAUGGGCUACUGCUCAAGAUUCAAAUGCAGGGAAAUUCCCAACUCUCAGUGCUUUUAAGUGUGGGAAAACCGGAGGACCACAGGACCAAUAUUCUUCUUUGAAAACUGUUUGUGGUUUGGCAUUCAAGAGUCUCACAAUUGUGCCAUAUUUCUUUAGCAUUUUCCGCGGGCUGGCUUCCUCAUGCUACGAGUCAUCUCUGGUGAGUUAGCAGUCCCACUUCUGUCUAAGUGACUGUGCAAACACAAAGCGUUGAGUGUGAAUUGGAUGAGGCCAGGGGAUGAUCCAAAAAGUUGUCUUCCUAUAUAUCAUAUUAUUUGGUUAAUAAAAAGAUCAGACUGAUUU
rnacentral:lncRNA from 1 species